GACGAACGCUGGCGGCGUGCCUAAUACAUGCAAGUUGAGCGAUGAAGCUUGGUGCUUGCACCAAUUUGAAGAGCAGCGAACGGGUGAGUAACGCGUGGGGAAUCUGCCUUUGAGCGGGGGACAACAUUUGGAAACGAAUGCUAAUACCGCAUAACAACUUUAAACAUAAGUUUUAAGUUUGAAAGAUGCAAUUGCAUCACUCAAAGAUGAUCCCGCGUUGUAUUAGCUAGUUGGUGAGGUAAAGGCUCACCAAGGCGAUGAUACAUAGCCGACCUGAGAGGGUGAUCGGCCACAAUGGGACUGAGACACGGCCCAAACUCCUACGGGAGGCAGCAGUAGGGAAUCUUCGGCAAUGGACGAAAGUCUGACCGAGCAACGCCGCGUGAGUGAAGAAGGGUUUCGGAUCGUAAAACUCUGUUGGUAGAGAAGAACGUUGGUGAGAGUGGAAAGCUCAUCAAGUGACGGUAACUACCCAGAAAGGGACGGCUAACUACGUG
rnacentral:rRNA from 1 species